rnacentral:rRNA from 1 species
CAGCAGCCGCGGUAAUACGAAGGGUGCAAGCGUUACUCGGAAUUACUGGGCGUAAAGCGUGCGUAGGUGGUGGUUUAAGUCCGUUGUGAAAGCCCUGGGCUCAACCUGGGAAUUGCAGUGGAUACUGGGUCACUAGAGUGUGGUAGAGGAGAGUGGAAUUUCCGGUGUAGCAGUGAAAUGCGUAGAGAUCGGAAGGAACAUCUGUGGCGAAGGCGACUAUCUGGGCCAACACUGACACUGAGGCACGAAAGCGUGGGGAGCAAACAGGAUUAGAUACCCCAGUAGUCCCUGUCUCUUAUAC